rnacentral:lncRNA from 1 species
GAAAUGGAAACCAAAAAGGAGUAAUGACUAUGUCACUUUUCUUGAUCAAAACACCCUUGCACAACAGAAGUUUUAUCAUGCGAUUGCGUCGGACAAUGUGGAACAUGCCUGGUCAGAGCUUAAAAACUGGAUCCUACGCGCUGCCAUUCAAUCUGGAAUGACCACGGCAGGAACUCACACACGUCCACCUUCAAGAUGUACAUCACAAGCAGAGUGGUUUGACAGCUCCUGUUUUCACAAAAAACAGACAUACCUGGACGCUGCAUAUCAUGGAACAGACCCUGACAUAAAAAACCAGUUAUUCCAUGAUUACGGAUCUUACGCCCAGUAUUGCAAAAGACGUUAUUUCAAUAUGAAGCGGCGUACUUUCCUGCAAAAA